rnacentral:rRNA from 1 species
CUCUAUGGUUAAUACCCAUAGACGAUGACAUUAGCUGCAGAAUAAGCACCGGCUAACUCUGUGCCAGCAGCCGCGGUAAUACAGAGGGUGCAAGCGUUAAUCGGAAUUACUGGGCGUAAAGCGAGCGUAGGUGGCUUGAUAAGUCAGAUGUGAAAUCCCCGGGCUUAACCUGGGAACUGCAUCUGAAACUGUUAGGCUAGAGUAGGUGAGAGGGAAGUAGAAUUUCAGGUGUAGCGGUGAAAUGCGUAGAGAUCUGAAGGAAUACCGAUGGCGAAGGCAGCUUCCUGGCAUCAUACUGACACUGAGGCUCGAAAGCGUGGGUAGCAAACAGGAUUAGAUACCCUGGUAGUCCACGCCGUAAACGAUGUC